rnacentral:rRNA from 1 species
AUUGAACGCUAGCGGGAUGCCUUACACAUGCAAGUCGAACGGAGUGGCGAACGGGUGCGUAAUGUAUCGGAACGUGCCCCGUAGCGGGGGAUAACUACGCGAAAUCGUAGCUAAUACCGCAUACUAUUGGAGCGGCCGAUAUCGGAUUAGCUAGUUGGUGGGGUAACGGCUCACCAAGGCGACGAUCCGAAGCUGGCUUGAGAGGACGACCAGCCAAACUGGGACUGAGACACGGCCCAGACUCCAACGGGAGGCAGAAGUGGGGAACUUUGGACAAUGGGGGAAGCCCGGAUCCAGACAGCCGCCGUGUGGGAUGAAGGCCUUCGGGUUGUAAAGCACUUUUGGCAGGAAGGCGGUACCUGAAGAGUAAGCACCGGCUAACUACGUGCCAGCAGCCGCGGUAAUAC